rnacentral:lncRNA from 1 species
GGCGGCGGUGCAGGGGGAGGUGUUGGUGGUGGCAUAGGAGGUGGUGGAGGUGUAGGUGGAGGCGCUGGAAGAGGUGCAGGUAGAGGCUCUGGUGGUGGUGCAGGUGGAGGCUCUGGUGGUGGUGGUGGUGGAGGUGGUGCAGGUGGAGGCGCUGAUGGUGGUUUUUGAAUUAAGACAUUAUUAUACUUAUACUAUCAUGCACUAUAUUCUUCAUUCUUAAAGUAAGUAUGUACCUUAUAUUAAACUGUUGAUGAAAAAUAAAGGCAAUUUCUCUUUAAUGCUCUAUAGGCUUUCAACCCGAGUUAACAUGAUACUAUCACUUGAACAAAGAUAAUCCCCAUUAAUGGUGAGACAAGUAUAUGUUUGUUCACAUAUUUUUAAUGACAAAAGUGUAAUUUUAUACAAUAAAAAAGAUAUGUGUCAUUGAAAGUUCUAUUUUUCUUUGUUUUUUAAAGUAUUUGUCUCUCCAUUAAUAGAGAAGAUCCUAACUCUUAUCAAUUACAGCAAAAAAAUCAAAGAUAGCACACUUCCCUCUCCGAUGAGUAUAUCUCUCAUUUCCUC